rnacentral:rRNA from 1 species
CCUACGGGGGGCUGCAGGCUAGAAAUUUGGGCAAUGGGGGAAACCCUGACCCAGUGACGCCGCGUGCAGGAAGGAGCCCUUCGGGGUGUAAACUGCUGUCGUGUAGGGAGAAGGGUACUAAGGUGAACAAUCUUAGUACUUGACGGUACUACAGGAGGAAGCCCAGGCUAACCUCGUGCCAGCAGCCGCGGUAAUACGGGGUGGGCGAGCGUUGCCCGGAAUUACUGGGUUUAAAGGGGGUGUAGGCGGUCUGGAUAGUCGGGUGUGUAAUGCAAUCGCUCAACGAUUGAGCUGCAUCUGAUACUUCCAGGCUAGAGGGCGGUAGAGGAGAGCGGAACUCCCGGUGUAGCGGUGAAAUGCGUAGAUAUCGGGAGGAACGCCGGUGGCGAAGGCGGCUCUCUGGGCCGUUCCUGACGCUGAGGCCCGAAAGCUGGGGGAGCGAAAGGGAUUAGAUACCCUGGUAGUC